GAGCGCGUUUUGGGAAGCCCAAAGCAAAGCCAUGAGAGCUUAUGUUCAAAGUGGACAAUAUCAUAGCAUUGUGGAGAUUUGUGAUUCCUAACAUUU